CUUCUUUCUCUUGACCUGUUUGUGCGUUGCAGACAGAAAUGCCUUGUUCUUUACUACCUCAUUUCUGAUGUAUAGGUAUGGCAUUCAUAACCUGGGAACUUCCAGUGCGAUUUCCCUGCUGUGCAUAUUCUCUUCAGAUGACGUUUGAGCCUAGGUUUUCGCACCAGCAAAAUGGGGAUAAUUGUGUUGCUUUGAUGUACUGAUAAAAGUGCUUUGUGAGAGCUAAAUAUUUCUUUGUGGAACAUGCCAUAGCAUGUUUAGAAGCUCUGUAUAGCAAGGGCUAGGAGGAAGAGACGUGGGUCUGAUGAAAAACAGUGAGGACAAACAGAGAAGGAGGCCUAUGGAUAUUCCCUUGCUGUUCUUUGUCUCCUAUACCAGCUCUGCAAGAGGAUGAGGGUUUUUCCUUUUCCUUUGCUCAAUGAAAAGAUGACAAGAGAGCAUAUAUCUAGGGACACCUGCUGAGAGAAUAAAAUACAGUAAACAUGAGUGUGCUACGGUGAUAGUUUUGCUUGUACAAUGGUGUCCUGGGUUUUGAUCCGGACUUAUAAAAAGUUUAAACAUAAGCCAUAAAUUAAACCAAAAUCAAAUGCUUUUGUUAUUCAACCUCAGGGUUUGGGUUGGUUUUUUUUUCGUUGUUAUUAUUGGUCUUUGGGGUUUUUUUAAGCUGGGAAAAAUUGGAUGUUGUUAAGAGGAUGAUGAAAAAAAAGAAAUAGAAGUAUUUCUGAACAAGGUCUUCUAAGGUGUCCCCUGGGACUGUGAUUUUAAACUGGUUGUGCAUUAAUUGCAGCUUCUCUGUGUGUUUGUUAGGCCAUUGCCAUGCUGCGGUAAGGUCUCGACGCUUUUAUCUAGCCCUCCCCUAUUCUCUGUUUGUUCUUCAGCAAGGAUGAGAGGAACCCUUACAGUAUGCAAAUAUCGAAUGCUUUCUAUGCUUCUUUCUUUAGAGGCAUAAAAGGAUUUGUUUUAAAAGGCAUGUUGAAUAUAUGGCAAUAAAGACUUAAAUCUUCAGAAGCGGGCAAGCUACACUCCCUCCGCACUUCACAAAUGAAGCCUGGCUUCUGCAAAGAAAGAGUUUGUUAGGAGAAGCACAGAAAGCGGGAUUUCCAUAAUGAUUUGCAAGAAAGAAUUUUGGAACACAUGGCACUGUCUUUCCUUCAGAACUGCAAGUCCCUGGAGACCAAAUUCUUUACUACUUAAUCACUGUGGUAAUUAGAGAUGAUGUUGGCAAGUGUUCACUGAACGUUGUGUCAUUUUUACAUCUUAAAACAUUUUGGCGUUACUUUCCAUUCCCUUUAUUCGGUGUGUUCUGGUCCGUCCCCUGGAUGAUUAGACACAUCUGACCUUUUCUUUGGGACCAGGUCAGUUUUGCAAUUAAGAGCUGUGUUGGUCUGUACUGAUAAAACCAGGGACUAAAUUGUUCUAUUUACGGUUUAAUUUGCCACCAAGCAUUUUUUAUAAUGACUUGUACACAAGCGACAUGAUGGGAAACAAAUCUCUGAGUGAAACAGGGGAUUCCAGCCACAAAAAAUGGCCUCCAAAUACGGAAAACUGCAGUACCAAAGUAUGAAUAAACAUCAGCUGGGAUGAAGCAGAGCUCUGUAGAUGGAGAAUAAUAUUGAAGCAUCAAAAAUGUGUGAGAGAUGGCCCUGGUAAUGAGGAGUGCCCUGGGGAGUGCAGGAAGAGAGUGGGUGCUCAGCCCUCCUGUGCCCCAGAACCCACUAAGCAGCAUCCUCAUAACGCUGCACUUUUCCCUCUUUUCCCCUCUCCACUGUGGGGACAUGCCAAGUGAUGCCAGAUGAGGAGAAAGGGGAAAAUGAAAGGGCUGCUCAAGCCCCAAAUCUGUAAUUUGGAACAUCUGCUGGUAAAGUUGGGGGGGAUCGUUUUUGUGGGUUUAAUAAUAGCUCUGAAAAUAGUGUAGGCUGGCUUCUCUGCAUUCCAGGUCUGUGCCUGUCACUGCUACUUCAGGAAAGUAGGAAAGAAUCUUCUCACAAGAGAUCAUAGCAGCUGAAAACUAUGGGCACACAUUAGAAGUUCUAGUGAAAACUGGUGCUGUGUGAUAGCUCAAAAGCCAUUAAAGAAAAUCACCACUCCUCUUAAUUCUGCAUACAAGCCUUUUCUGCAAUAUGGAUUAUUUCUCAGAGACACCCUGCUCCAGCCCCCAAAAGAAAAGGAUUUGGGUUCUGCAACAAGAGGAAAGACAAUUGUAAACUAGCCUCUUCUUUUGGUCACUUGAAAUCCACGUGGUAUUUUGCACACUAUUCUUCAUGCUGUCGGACAUACAAGAAUUCUACCAUGUUGCAAAAAAGCUCUCUGCUGUAAAAAUGAGCUUUACUCUUUAAGUCAUGUCCUGCCAUCUCCCUGUUCACGGAAGCUUGGUGUGAUUACAUCUGAGUCACCAGAUAGGUAAUGGAUUUCUUCAGCACAGUUUUCUACAGGCAGCAAAACUGGGAGAGCUUUUGCAUAGCUGUCAGACAGACAGGAGUCUGCUUCCUUCCACCCUCAGGAGAGCCUUGGGAUGCAUUUUAUUGAAGCUAAUGGGUAAUCUGAAGAUAGAACACUGAAGGCAGAGAACAUCAAUAAUUCACUAGAACUUUGCUGGAGAACAGUCUGACAGAAGAGCUCAAUGUCUGCUUUCGUCACCUGAAGGACAACUUGACAGCAAUACCAAGAGGUCUCUGAGAGCUACACGAUGCCUGUGUGGAGGGGAACAGACACACAGGAGGAUCAGCUCCAGCUUCGGGAUAACAACACAUGGGUUACCGUUCCCUUCAGUGGCUAAACACUUCAUCUUGUGACCCCCACAAACCCCCAUGUAUUUAAUGCAUUAACUUUAGUCUUAGCGGUAUCUGGUAGGUUUUUUGAUCCUACUCCCCCCUCCCCCCCCCCCCAAACGAAGAUGCUGCAGAGCAACUUGAAGUUUCCUAUUCAGGUAGUUUUGUUAUACUGAAGCCUUUCAUUUGAAAUAGAUGCAACACACUUAGAUGUUAAAAACUUUUGUUUGAUAACUGCCAACAUUCGUGUAUGUGGGAGACUGAUGCAUGAGAUCCAAAUCACUCAUAGAAGAGUUUUUGCAGGAUCAGGUCUAGGCCCUAUCCCACCUCUCUCCACAGCAGUAAGGAAGAAAGUCUCUUCAUGCUUUUGAGAUCAACAUUCAUUCUCCAAAUUCAUCUAGGUGUUUGUUAUUGACAUACCCAUCUCUAAUGUGUUUGCAGGAUGGAGAAACGGCAGUGGACAUUAUGAUCAAGCUUGGCUGCAGCCUUUGGCCUUGAUUUCUCGUCUGGUUAUGUCAGAUUUCCAUGAAGCCAGCAGUCCAAAGCUUGAUGUCUUCUGUACUUCGCAGUAUUGUUGACCUGUGCAAUCUCUCCCCCCUGCAUCUUAGAUGAGGAACUCCUGAAAGCUGAGUGCACUCUACAUCAUUCUUACUCAGCAGCUUUGUGUAGCAGUAGGGUCCCUCCGUGUGGCUGAUCAUUCUGGCACCUCUUUGUGAGCACUAGCUAAGGCUUACAGCUAUCUGUGCAUCCGUGUAGUGCAAACUGAUUAAAAUGGGAAUGAUGUGUAUCCAUCGGAAUCAAGCUAAGGCAGUUUUGCCCAACGCAAUCUCUCUGUCAGUACCAAUUUUCUUGUUUCUGUGGCAAGAUUUUUUUUCCUAUUCAAUAUUAUGUUAAUGAGGUUUAUUUGCUUUAUCUGAUAAAGGCAUUUUGCACCUACAGUAAAAAAUUCUGAGGAAAGAAAGUCUUUACAAAACCCAAAAGCUGUGAAAGCUGUCCGGGAAAUGUUUGAUGUAUGCCAUGUGUAUGCAUGUUCUCAUUCAUUGUGGGUUUGGAUAACUCUGUUCACGUAAAACAUAGAAAUACCUUGGGAGUAUAAAGGGGCUAUUUCUGUUCCUUCAGCUUUGAUAAUGCAUUGACAUCCUUAGUGAAAUUACAGAAAGGGUCAACCUCCUUUGCCGUCUUUUCGAGUGGUAUGUUUUGGAAUAUUUCUCUUUCUACUCCUAUGUCCUCUCUGUUUACAGGUGAAUACAGUGGUAGCUGCUGUCUUAUGGACACCUUUUCUCUGUCUUGUGCUGUGUCAUACAGGUAGAUUUCUGACAAGUGCAAAAUAUGCCUCAGAUUAUUCACUAAGUGCUAGUGACAUGACAAGCAAAACCUUUGAAAAUCCCCACUGGUUUUGAAACUGCACAACAGGAAACACUGAUUUUGGGUUCAUAAAAGAUGUCUUUGCAAGACUACAAGAAAAUCCUCACUGUGGUUAUGGAGGUCCUAAAAGAAAAGUAAAAUCUCUGCUAUUAUUUGUGUAACUGCAAGCAAAGUUUACAUCUCUUUCCAAGUUUAUGACCUUGACAAUACAAAUGCAUUAUAACUUCA